ACCAAGUGGCUGCAAAUGUCAUCAACAACAUAUAUAAAGAUUACAGACAGAGAGCAAGAGAGAAGAGUGUGAGAGUGAGAAUGAGAGUAAGAAGUAUAUAUGUAUAUCCAUAUAUAUAUAUAUAUGAAACAUAAAAGAGAAAUCAAAGAAAUGAAACGAAGGGAGAGUAAAAAAUGAGACAAUGGGCACAGGGUUAGAAAUAAUAAUGGCAGCGAUAGGAUUAUGGGCGGUGUUUCUGCGACCAUUGGUGAUGAGAAUCACAAGAGAAAUGAUUGAAGUGAUAGGUUCCGCCAUCCGCAGAUUGAUUCGAAGAACUCCUGCAAAUUGAAGUAUUGCUAUCAAUUGGUAUCACCGGUGUCCCGAAAGUCAUUCUUUUGCUAUAUCUCCUUUAUCUUCCUUCCUCUUCUUCUUUCCUUGAUAUUAUAUUUACAAUAUCUACAGUAAAAGACGGAAAUUCGUACUAUGUAAAAGAUCUGCAAUCAUAUUAUUUACAGAAUAACUUUCUUUAAUUAAUUGCUAUCAUAUUCUUGUUUAUGUAGCUAAAAUGUUUUACGUACGUACCAAGAUGAAUGCAUGUAAGAUG
rnacentral:lncRNA from 1 species